CGGCGGAGCAGGAGAAGUUGGGGGCGGAGCAGGAGCGGGGAGGGCGAGAAGGAGAGUAGCAGCGAGUGCGGGAGCAGGCGCCCAGAGACGGAGAGCGAGGAGAGGAGCAGGUCGAGCGGGAAGCAGAGGCGGUGGCGCUGGAGGAAGGGGAGCAGUGCGAAGGCGAGCGGCAGGGACAUGUCGCUGGCGGCGAGGCCCCGGUGCAGAGCGUGCCACUCGUGCGAGGUGCGACGGCACGGCGGAGUAGGACGCGGCGAGGCGACGCUUGGGAGCUGGCAUGGAGGGCGGAGGAGACGGCGAGGUGAGAGAGGCGAUGGAGGAGGGGUCGGAGAGGUAGGCAAGCAGUGGCUCGAAGUCAUAGCGGCUGGCGGGGCCGGCGGCGGAGACGGAGACCGAGGAGGUGGUGCAGCUGGGUAUGGGGAGGCGGAGGCGCUGGCGCUGGUGGCUGUCUGCCGCUGCCAGUCCUCUCCGGGCUCCUCCGCCGUAUCCUUCUCAAUCUCCGAUGUUUUUCUCCCGUGUCGUGAUUUGGAUGGACAAUUGGAGGUCGUGUCCUUGUCCAACACCAAGCAAUGGAGUGCCCGACCCGGAUUUCAGUUGCCUGCUAUAAGAAUGAAGGGCCCUCGGCCAGAAUCUCCAUCAGGUUGCGUCCUUGUACCAUAAGCUCCAUCAAAGCCCGUUGCAAUUUUCGACGAAACGUCCAAUGUCGUCGCCGAGUUCACCGGAGGAAGAAGCGCCGAGUUCGCCGGAGGAACAAGAACAUCCGUCCAUCCGUCCAAUGUAGCCUGACUCGGCUACACCAGAGGUUUGUAUCCCCUUGAUAUUCACUGGAUGGAAUCCCAUGUUUUACAUAUAAUUCUAUCCCCUGGCUCUGUAUGCGAUUCUGUUCUUACUUCAGUUAUGAAAUAGCUUUGUAGUUUUAUGUGGUGAAAGUUUUAGAGGCUGUUGAUAGCUUUCGAAAGGUACUAAGUUUGUGCAAUUCAGCAUAAUGAUUAUGAAGACAUCGCCAAAUAACAGUUCCGUUGUUCUAGGAUUUUCAGUCCAAGCAGAUUUAUGUUUUGCAAGAAUUAAUGGCGACUUUAGUUUAGCCUGGCUGGAUUAAGGGACAAUACUUAAUUUUGUGUUGUAGUAUAUAUGUACUUUGUUGUUUGCUCAACGAAUUAUAUUAUAUCAAUAUCAAUAAGCCGACAUUGUUCAGGCCUUAUUUUUUAGCUAUCCCCUUGACCCCUGUUUCAGUUAUUUUUCUGUCCCCUGUCUUGCUGGCGAGCCCGUGCGUGGCUACUGUUGUUGCUCGCGCGCCCGUACGCGUCCCUGAUCCUACCUAAUUAUUCAUCGCCAAGGAUGAGACGAUUUUAGUUGCCAUGGAUCAUAUAGAUAGGCCCUGUCCAUCUUGAUCUCGAUUGAAUCUGAUUGGAUGAGCAUGAAUUAUUUGGUUCUGCAGUCCAGGUAAAAAUAUGCCACACAAGCUGGCUUUUGUCUGUAGAAUAAGCAUAAUUUUUAACUGCCAUGAGCGCGUCUACUAGAUCGAUUUGUGUUAAACAAACUUACUUGGUUAAGUGCAGGAAUGUCUAGCGAAUUAUAUUCAGGAACCUUUUGACUUUUCAAUCCUCGCAAAUAACCUUGCUAAGUUAAACUCAUAAUUACCUCGCUCUUGUAUGAGAUAAUAGUAUGGAGUAGAACCAUAUGCAUCUUGAUCUGGAUUGAAUCUGAUUGGGUGAGCAUGAAUAUUCGGUUCUGGAGUGCAGGUCGAAAGACACAUGCUGGUUUUUGUCUGGCCAGUUAUAUUCAGCAACUUUUCUGACCUGUCAAUCCUCGCAAAAGAACCUUGCUAAACUUACAAUUACUUCUCUUGUGCCAGAUAACACUAUGAAGUAGAGCCAUAUGUUGCUGGUGACUGAAAUUGGUUCUGUCGUAAUUGGCUGAUUGCUUCAGUUUAUCAGUCUAGCUAAGAGUUUGUUUUCUGCGAAUGGUUUAGCAUGGCUGAGUAAUAUGUGUUUACUUCACUAAUUCAUAAGAAUUAUUUUCUCUUGCCAGCUUCAGCUGCAGCAGCAUCUUGCCUGCAUCAUAUAUUUUGUAUUAUGUUAUUGUGGUCAUGCUGAUUCUGAAUUUCUCCGUACUGCCGACUUUGCCGGAAUUACGUCCGCCUGUGUAGCCAAGGUUGAGAACUGAUGAUGGACGACGUAAAAACUGUUAAAGAGGAGAUUAAAGGAUGGAAGAUGGCAGCAGAGGAGGAGGCUGAAGCUGGUAGAUCAAUUGAGCAAGAAAAAUGGAUGACAACACUUAAUCGAUCAUUGUUGAGGAUUUUGAAACCUGACCUUCAUAAAGAAAGCAAAAUGUUCUGAAUCGGGUGUUUUGAAAUGGAGGUUUAACUUUAUUUGUAAGGCCCGCUCGGUACAUCCACCCUGAGGCAUCACCAUCUACAUGGUGGAAGAGGUUCGACACUGUGGACAUCAGCGGCGAUGUUGUUUCCAAUACGCAGAAAGUGCACGACUUCGGUGAGGGUGCGCAAGGUUUCUGCAUGUCCCUCAAGUUCCUGCCCCCAUACCGUCGCUCUCGCCAACCACAGCCGGAAGCUUGGAACCAUGGCCUGCUCUAAACGAGUCUCCAUCUGAUGUAUGGUACUUUGCCAAGGUCAAGGAGUAGCUUCCCGCAAAAAAAAGGGUUCAAGGAGUAGCACUAGCACCUCUGAAGCAGCAACAAAAGGAUCAAAACCACAUUCUUCAGCAUCCUACUCGGCAAAAAAAAAGGCGAAAAGACUGACUUCCAGAAAAAAACAUGAAGAAUUCUUCCAAGCACCAGACUGAGACAGAUUCCUUGAGACGUGCGCUUGAUAAUAUCAGGUGGUCAGGUUCUUUUCUAAGUUGAGGUAGGGUUGCCUCUUCAAUCUGUGAUAUUCAAAUGAGAGGGAAAAUGAAUAUAUAGAGGAAUAUAAUUAGAAUACAUUAUUAACAACCUCCAAAUUUUUAUCAUGUCUCAUGGCCAGUUCAAUACUUCUUUCUUAAUGCAA
rnacentral:rRNA from 1 species